rnacentral:rRNA from 1 species
CCUACGGGUGGCAGCAGUGAGGAAUAUUCGUCAAUGGGCGCGAGCCUGAACCAGCCAAGUCGCGUGAGGGAUGACGGCCCUACGGGUUGUAAACCUCUUUUGCCGGGGAGCAACGGGCGCCACGUGUGGCGCCACUGAGAGUACCCGGAGAAAACGCAUCGGCUAACUCCGUGCCAGCAGCCGCGGUAAUACGGAGGAUACGAGCGUUAUCCGGAGUUAUUGGGUUUAAAGGGUGCCUAGGCGGAUCGUUAAGUCAGUGGUCAAAUUGAGGGGCUCAACCCCUUCCCGCCAUUGAUACUGGCGAUCUUGAGUGGAAGAGAAGUAUGCGGAAUGCGAGGUGUAGCGGUGAAAUGCAGAGAUAUCACGCAGAACCCCGAUUGCGAAGGCAGCAUGCCGGCUUCCGACUGACGCUGAAGCACGAAAGCGUGGGGAUCGAACAGGAUUAGAUACCCGGGUAGUC